rfam:Gasterosteus aculeatus cont1.014521, whole genome shotgun sequence.
UUUAAAGUGCAAUGUAAGUCGCUUUGGAUAAAAGCGUCUGCUAAAUGUCCUGUA